CAUUUUACACGUGGUGGAGCUAGAUUACCUCUGCAGUUACACCGUGAUCUUCCACGUUCCUACAGCAUAUUGAAAUGCUUGGAGCGGACUCUAUGCCAAACAAGGCCUCACACAAAGGACAAUAGAUGUUAUAGCAGCUUCGUGGAAAGGAUCCACCAAGUCACAGUACCAGGUGUACAUAAGGAAAUGGAAAAAGUUUUGUGCCAAGAGACACAUUAAUUAUUUACAAGUCAAAGUUUGUGAUGUUCUUGCCUUUCUCACAUUUAUGUUGGACGAAGAGAAGGUUGGUUAUAGCAGCCUAAAUACAGCUAGAAGUGCCCUAUCCACAUUUCUUAUUGUGGAUGAUGGAUGCCAACCUCUUGGGUCGCAUCCUCUUGUUAACAGAUUUAUGAAAGGAGUCUUCCAUCUGAGUCCGCCUGCACCCCGGUACUCUUCUAUAUGGGAUGUCAAAGUGGUAAUGAACUAUCUCAGGAAGCUAUCUCCAGCUAAGGCACUUAAUCUGAAGCAACUAACGCAGAAAUUGACUAUGUUGAUAGCACUUGUUUCUGCACAAAGAGUGCAGUCUCUACAUGUCAUUCACCUGGACAGGAUGAGGUGGAAUAAAUCGUCAGUUGAGAUUGCGUUUGAAAAUACACUGAAGCAAAAUAAGCCUGGAAAUACAGGACUCAAUGUAACACUUAAAGCUUACCCUCCAGAUAGGAGAUUGUGCAUAAUGAACUAUAUGAAAGAAUAUGUGCAACGGACAAAGAAUCUGCGGGGCAUGGAUAGACACUUGUUAGUAACAUGUAAGAAGCCCCAUCAUCGUGCUACAAAGCAAACAAUAGCACGUUGGAUCAAGACUGUCAUGCAUGAGGCAGGUAUCGACACAGAGUUAUUUCAUGCUCACUCUACGAGAGCAGCUUCUACUUCGGCAGCACAACGAAGUGAGGUACCUGUAUCAGAGAUUAUGUCUAGAGCAGGUUGGGUGUCAGAGAAGACAUUCCAAACUUUUUAUUGCAAACCUUUGCAGAAUACUGGUCAAUUUUCGCAGGCAGUUUUGAAACAUUGACUUCACAAGAUUUACAUAUUUGGCUCGGUUAUGCGAGUGACACACGUGCGAGAUACCAUGGCUCACAGUUACCCUAGUGGCACAUGUACAAGAUACCAUAUCAAAGCUCCACUACAUGGCAUGCAUCGCAGAUACGACAGAGAAAUAUGAUCAUGGAUGAAUAGGAUACGACAGAGAAAUAUGAUCAUGGAUGAAUAGGGAAAAUUUAAACAAUCCCGGCAAGAUCCUGACUGAUGUGCAUGACUGAAACACAAGUUCACUUCUGAUCUCUUGUCAAGGCAAGCUGCAACUUACAUGGAACAUAAACACACACUAUUGAAGGAUUGCUUCUUUCCAGGUGCUGUUGGAAGAAGCAGGUGCUGUUAUUUGGAAGAAGCAGGUGCUGUUAUUUGGAAGAAGCAGGUGCUGUUAUUUGGAAGAAGCAGGACUCUCUGCAUCAAAUAUACAUGUAGAUGAUCUCUCCCUCUCGAUGCUGUUUUGAAAAGAGGAUUUCUCAUCCUAGCAAGUAUUAUCCUUGAUAAACAGAGGAGAACGAUUUGUUUGACCAAGCAUGGUCGUUUCAAAAGAUUGAUGUGAUUUGGCGAUGCUACCAACUGGGUAUUGACCAGAGCUGCAGCAAAUUUUUAAUGUGAUUUGGCGAUGCUACCAACUGGGUAUUGACCAGAGCUGCAGCAAAUUUUUAACGUGAUUUCGGGAUGUUUAUUAUCGUCCAGAGCUGCAGGCAGCUUUUGAUAUAAUAUGAUGUCGGCUUAUUGUCCAGAGCUGCAGCCAACUUUUGGUGUGCACAUUUGGACACAUCUCUCUUUAGAAGGUCUUAUAUAUCACCAGAAUUGAGAACAUGUGAUCAAAGAUUUAAAAGACCCAAGCCUGAGCUGUGAGAUGACUUUAUUGUGGCCUUCAGCCAAAAUGGGAGAUACUACAUUCACAUGCACGAUCUGGUGCGAUUUUGUUGCCACGCCCUACUUUGCCUUGCCAGCUAGAGUGUGGAGUAAGCCUACCAAUAGCUGGGUGAUGCCGAUAACUGUUGUAUUCCCAACGGUCAUCCAAAGCAGGGUAUUCACUGACAAGGAGCACUCACUGUCUGCCCUUGUAAAGUCAACAAGGCAAACAUGAAGAUGGAAAUGUCCUGGAAAUGACUUGGUGCUCCCACGGUACAUCAAAGAUGGGCAAACAGCUAUAAGACGAGUGCGAGAUGUCCCAAAUCAAGGCUGCAGAAUCGAUGAGGACUUGCUGGACUUCCUGAGGCAGGCACUUUGCAGAUCCCUACAGUACGAGUGUGAGUUGGCCUGAAUCAAGACUGCAUAUCGAUGAGGACUUGAGGCAGACACUUAUCAGUUUUUAUAGAACGUUAACAAAGUGACACCUGCAAGAAACCUCGGAAGUGAGAAGAUAUAUGUCAAGAAUAUUUAUGAGCUGGCAGAGUGGAGACCCAUCAAAAGCAAGAAGGGUGUAAUUGCAAGUGAUCAGUACUUGAUAUAUUUGAGGAUGCAGCCAUAAGUGAACCACUAAGAUGUGCUAUUUUGAACAAUGAACAGUUACGAGCCGGCAGAGUAGAGACACAUCUGAAGCAAGAUGGGUGUGUGGCAAGCGAUCAGUACUCGAUAUAUUCGAGGAUGCAGCCAUAAGUGAACCACUAAGAUGUGCUAUUUUGAACAAUGUUGGAUGCAUCCGGUACCAUGAAGUGUGAAGCUGUAGUAAAAAAGAAGGAAAAAGAUGUUCCCCGAAUGUUUUUUUCCAGAGAAAAGGAAUUAUACUGCUAUUCGAUGUUCCCUGAAUGUUUUUCUCCAGAGAAAAGGAAUUAUACUGCUAUUCGUAGGAUGUUCAAGAGCUCGAUCUUAACAAUGCUGGGGAACUGCCCAGGGCCCUGUCGCAUGUCUUUGGAUGAGUAAUCAUCAGAUAAUUCAUUCUUUUCUUCUCGGCCAGAAGAAGCCACAUCUCUAGGGACUUAUGGGACCUAUGCCAUGGAUCCAAAGGACAAGGUUCUUCAACAUCAAUCAACUGAACUUCUACAUAAUUGGAAUACCAGGAAUCCUUAAUUUCAUUGGUUUUUGUUCUGUAACAAGCGAUGAAAUGGAAAAAAACUUAAAAGACACUACGGAUCUCCAGAAGACAGCACCAAUGGCAUCCCUUAUAAAUCAAAGUCAAAUCGAAGGAGUAUUAGUCUCUAGCUCUAAAUAUAUAAUUCUCAAUCGAUCUUAUUCAAAUCGAUAUAACCUAUAACAAUUUUCGUCAUGAUUCAUUUUUUGAUGUUCAUUUCUUUGUUUUUUUCAAAAUUUUAACUUUAAAGAGGCGGAUUUGAAUAUUUGUGUCAAUAUUUCAUUGAGCGCAGUGGCGAACGCAAGUGAUUCGGGGUACAGAUGUUCAACCCCCUUUAUUUUUUUGAAAAUCACUUUGUACACAGGGGUUCAACCCCCCUCCCCAAUUUUUUGUUUGUACAAAACCUCAAAUUUUUGUUGAAGAUUUUUUUUUUCACUAGUUCACUUUUCAUUCAGCCUGAACCCCACACCCCCUUCAAAAAUCAUGCGUUCGCUACUGCUUGAGCAUGACAAUCUAAUUUUAAUUUUACUUAGAAGUAGAUCUAUGCGUUGCCCCAUGUUUUCAUGUUUGGUCCAUGUGUAGCAACAUUGGCACUGAAAUAAUUUAUUUCUGUGAGCAUUGGUAGCAGAUAGAUAUAUGAUGUGUUGCUGAUAGAUUGAAUAAAUACAAUAAAAAUAAAAA